rnacentral:rRNA from 1 species
GAUGAACGCUGGCGGCGUGCCUAAUACAUGCAAGUCGAGCGAAUGGAUUAAGAGCUUGCUCUUAUGAAGUUAGCGGCGGACGGGUGAGUAACACGAGGGUAACCUGCCCAUAAGACUGGGAUAACUCCGGGAAACCGGGGCUAAUACCGGAUAAUAUUUUGAACUGCAUGGUUCAAAAUUGAAAGGCGGCUUCGGCUGUCACUUAUGGAUGGACCCGCGUCGCAUUAGCUAGUUGGUGAGGUAACGGCUCACCAAGGCAACGAUGCGUAGCCGACCUGAGAGGGUGAUCGGCCACACUGGGACUGAGACACGGCCCAGACUCCUACGGGAGGCAGCAGUAGGGAAUCUUCCGCAAUGGACGAAAGUCUGACGGAGCAAUGCCGCGUGAGUGAUGAAGGCUUUCGGGUCGUAAAACUCUGUUGUUAGGGAAGAACAAGUGCUAGUUGAAUAAGCUGGCACCUUGACGGUACCUAACCAGAAAGCCACGGCUAACUACGUGCCAGCCGCCGCCGUAA